AUUAUUAUUAUUAAUAAACUUUACAAUACAUACUAUAAAAUGUGACAAAAAGAAAAGAAACAAAAAAGAGAUGUAUCGAAGGCAAACACAGUAACAAGACUGGCCACCUAAAAUUACAUAAAAAACAUUUAGACACAAUUGAAACAAGGACAACAAAAA